UGUUGGGUUAAGUCCCGCAACGAGCGCAACCCUCGUUCUAUGUUGCCAGCACGUAAUGGUGGGAACUCAUAGGAGACUGCCGGGGUCAACUCGGAGGAAGGUGGGGAUGACGUCAAAUCAUCAUGCCCUUUAUGUCUUGGGCUUCACGCAUGCUACAAUGGCUGGUACAGAGAGAUGCGAGACCGCGAGGUUUUAGCGAAUCCCUUAAAGCCAGUCUCAGUUCGGAUCGUAGUCUGCAAUUCGACUACGUGAAGUCGGAGUCGCUAGUAAUCGCAGAUCAGCAACGCUGCGGUGAAUACGUUCCCGGGCCUUGUACACACCGCCCGUCAAGUCACGAAAGUCGGUAACACCCGAAGCCGGUGGCCCAACCCUUGUGG
rnacentral:rRNA from 1 species